rnacentral:rRNA from 1 species
GAUGAACGCUAGCUACAGGCUUAACACAUGCAAGUCGAGGGGUAACGAGAGGAAAGCUUGCUUUCCUUGUCGACGACCGGCGCACGGGUGGGUAACGCGUAUCCAACCUGCCCCCAACUAGGGAAUAACCUUGCGAAAGUAAGACUAAUACCCUAUAAUUUCCUCAGAUGUCAUCUGACGAGGAAUAAAGAUUUAUCGGUUGUGGAUGGGGAUGCGUCUGAUUAGCUUGUUGGCGGGGUAACGGCCCACCAAGGCAAAGAGCAGUAGGGGUUCUGAGAGGAAGGGCCCCCACAUUGGAACUGAGACACGGUCCAAACUCCUACGGGAGGCAGCAGUGAGGAAUAUUGGUCAAUGGGCGGAAGCCUGAACCAGCCAAGUAGCGUGCAGGAUGACGGCCCUAUGGGUUGUAAACUGCUUUUAUACAGGAAUAAAGUUAGCCACGUGUGGUUAUUUGUAGGUACUGUAUGAAUAAGGACCGGCUAAUUCCGUGCCAGCCGCCGCCGUAA